GACGAACGCUGGCGGCGUGCUUAACACAUGCAAGUCGAACGGAAAGGCCCUGCUUUUGUGGGGUGCUCGAUUGGCGAACGGGUGAGUAACACGUGAGUAACCUGCCCUUGACUUUGGGAUAACUUCAGGAAACUGGGGCUAAUACCGGAUAGGAGCUCCUGCUGCAUGGUGGGGGUUGGAAAGUUUCGGCGGUUGGGGAUGGACUCGCGGCUUAUCAGCUUGUUGGUGGGGUAGUUGCUUACCAAGGCUUUGACGGGUAGCCGGCCUGAGAGGGUGAACGGCCACAAUGGGACUGAGAGACGGACCAGACUCCUACGGGAGGCAGCAGUGGGGAAUAUUGCGCAAUGGGCGGAAGCCUGAUGCAGCAACGCCGCGUGCGGGAUGACGGCCUUCGGGGUGUAAACCGCUUUCGCAUGUGACGAAGCGUGCGUGACGGUAAUGGGUAAAGAAGCACCGGCUAACUACGUG
rnacentral:rRNA from 1 species